AGCUGGUCCAAAAAGUGAGUUAUCUCACUUGAUUGUUCACAGUCAGUUACAGAUUGAAUUCCUUAUUCUAUUACUUUUCCCCCUCUUCACUACUGUACUUGACUAGUCUUAA
rnacentral:Y_RNA from 1 species